CCUCCAUGAUGCAGCAGAUAGUGCUGACUACCUUGGAAACUCUUAAGGAAAGGUCCAUGGGGAAAGUGACAGUACAAAAUGUCCAUGUUGUUCAACCUUGCAGUGGUUAAAAUUAGCUGGACAGUAUGAGGGGACAUUUGUAAUUCCCAUUGCUUUUCUGUAUCAAAAGCUGUUUGAGAACCCUGGUAACAUCUUAUAUUUCAAAGGACUUUGGCCCUUUAAUGAGGGAGGGUGUUUUAAAAGCUUUUGGGGCUUUACAAAUUAAGAGUACAAAUUAAAUUUGAGAUUUUGUUUUAAUUUGCAGUUUGUAAAAAUUAUGUUAACUACUAUUUCUUCGUUCCAACUAACUUCCUUUUUCCUUCCUUUUUCAGCAGUAUCUUGUAUCAGGUGUCCAAAUGGGCUAUGGAGUUUGAAGACAAUUUCUGAUAGAAGCGAUCACAUUUCUUCUGCUGUAAAAUAGGAUUUGCUGGUCUUUAGUCCCAUUGAAAACUGCUGUGGAAAGAUGAAACAGCAAAGGAGAAGUUGAAAGGGAGAGUGGUGAUGGAAAAUGUGAUGGAAUUGCUCAGAUUAAUACUUUUACCAAGAACGGUAUCACAAUCUGGAUCUCCAUCUUUUGUAUUACUGUGGUCUGUAUCAUACUUUAAAAGUGCCAGGAGAAGAGCAUGCAUCUGGACAUAUUUCCUUCUAAUUGGAGACUGGGACUGGAUAUCCAUGGCUUUCUCCUAUGUGACUGAGAUAAAAAGGGUACUAUUAUC